rnacentral:tRNA from 1 species
GCCCGGUUAGCUCAAUCGGUAGAGCGUCAGACUCUUAGGGCAUCCUGCGAUCUGAAGGCUGCGGGUUCGACCCCCGCAUUGGGCU